rnacentral:rRNA from 1 species
UUAAGCGACUAAGCGUACACGGUGGAUGCCCUGGCAGUCAGAGGCGAUGAAGGGCGUGCUAAUCUGCGAUAAGCGCCGGUAAGGUGAUAUGAACCGUUAUAACCGGCGAUACCCGAAUGGGGAAACCCAGUGUGAUUCGUCACACUAUCAUUAACUGAAUCCAUAGGUUAAUGAGGCGAACCGGGGGAACUGAAACAUCUAAGUACCCCGAGGAAAAGAAAUCAACCGAGAUUCCCCCAGUAGCGGCGAGCGAACGGGGAGGAGCCCAGAGCCUGAAUCAGCAUGUGUGUUAGUGGAAGCGUCUGGAAAGGCGCGCGAUACAGGGUGACAGCCCCGUACACAAAAGCGCAUGUGCUGUGAGCUCGAUGAGUAGGGCGGGACACGUGGUAUCCUGUCUGAAUAUGGGGGGACCAUCCUCCAAGGCUAAAUACUCCUGACUGACCGAUAGUGAACCAGUACCGUGAGGGAAAGGCGAAAAGAACCCCGGCGAGGGGAGUGAAAAAGAACCUGAAACCGUGUACGUACAAGCAGUGGGAGCACAGGUUUACCUGUGUGACUGCGUACCUUUUGUAUAAUGGGUCAGCGACUUAUAUUCUGUAGCAAGGUUAACCGAAUAGGGGAGCCGGAGGGAAACCGAGUCUUAAUUGGGCGUUAAGUUGCAGGGUAUAGACCCGAAACCCGGUGAUCUAGCCAUGGGCAGGUUGAAGGUUGGGUAACACUAACUGGAGGACCGAACCGACUAAUGUUGAAAAAUUAGCGGAUGACCUGUGGCUGGGGGUGAAAGGCCAAUCAAACCGGGAGAUAGCUGGUUCUCCCCGAAAGCUAUUUAGGUAGCGCCUCGUGAAUUCAUCUCCGGGGGUAGAGCACUGUUUCGGCUAGGGGGCCAUCCCGGCUUACCAACCCGAUGCAAACUGCGAAUACCGGAGAAUGUUAUCACGGGAGACACACGGCGGGUGCUAACGUCCGUCGUGAAGAGGGAAACAACCCAGACCGCCAGCUAAGGUCCCAAAGUCAUGGUUAAGUGGGAAACGAUGUGGGAAGGCCCAGACAGCCAGGAUGUUGGCUUAGAAGCAGCCAUCAUUUAAAGAAAGCGUAAUAGCUCACUGGUCGAGUCGGCCUGCGCGGAAGAUGUAACGGGGCUAAACCAUGCACCGAAGCUGCGGCAGCGACGCUUAUGCGUUGUUGGGUAGGGGAGCGUUCUGUAAGCCUGCGAAGGUGGCCUGUGAGGGUUGCUGGAGGUAUCAGAAGUGCGAAUGCUGACAUAAGUAACGAUAAAGCGGGUGAAAAGCCCGCUCGCCGGAAGACCAAGGGUUCCUGUCCAACGUUAAUCGGGGCAGGGUGAGUCGACCCCUAAGGCGAGGCCGAAAGGCGUAGUCGAUGGGAAACGGGUUAAUAUUCCCGUACUUGGUGUUACUGCGAAGGGGGGACGGAGAAGGCUAUGUUGGCCGGGCGACGGUUGUCCCGGUUUAAGCGUGUAGGUGUGUGUUCCAGGUAAAUCCGGUUCACUUUAACACUGAGGCGUGAUGACGAGGCACUACGGUGCUGAAGUAACAAAUGCCCUGCUUCCAGGAAAAGCCUCUAAGCAUCAGGUAACAUCAAAUCGUACCCCAAACCGACACAGGUGGUCAGGUAGAGAAUACCAAGGCGCUUGAGAGAACUCGGGUGAAGGAACUAGGCAAAAUGGUGCCGUAACUUCGGGAGAAGGCACGCUGACACGUAGGUGAAGUGAUUUACUCACGGAGCUGAAGUCAGUCGAAGAUACCAGCUGGCUGCAACUGUUUAUUAAAAACACAGCACUGUGCAAACACGAAAGUGGACGUAUACGGUGUGACGCCUGCCCGGUGCCGGAAGGUUAAUUGAUGGGGUCAGCGCAAGCGAAGCUCCUGAUCGAAGCCCCGGUAAACGGCGGCCGUAACUAUAACGGUCCUAAGGUAGCGAAAUUCCUUGUCGGGUAAGUUCCGACCUGCACGAAUGGCGUAAUGAUGGCCAGGCUGUCUCCACCCGAGACUCAGUGAAAUUGAACUCGCUGUGAAGAUGCAGUGUACCCGCGGCAAGACGGAAAGACCCCGUGAACCUUUACUAUAGCUUGACACUGAACAUUGAGCCUUGAUGUGUAGGAUAGGUGGGAGGCUUUGAAGUGUGGACGCCAGUCUGCAUGGAGCCGACCUUGAAAUACCACCCUUUAAUGUUUGAUGUUCUAACGUGGACCCGUUACCCGGGUUGCGGACAGUGUCUGGUGGGUAGUUUGACUGGGGCGGUCUCCUCCUAAAGAGUAACGGAGGAGCACGAAGGUUGGCUAAUCCUGGUCGGACAUCAGGAGGUUAGUGCAAUGGCAUAAGCCAGCUUGACUGCGAGCGUGACGGCGCGAGCAGGUGCGAAAGCAGGUCAUAGUGAUCCGGUGGUUCUGAAUGGAAGGGCCAUCGCUCAACGGAUAAAAGGUACUCCGGGGAUAACAGGCUGAUACCGCCCAAGAGUUCAUAUCGACGGCGGUGUUUGGCACCUCGAUGUCGGCUCAUCACAUCCUGGGGCUGAAGUAGGUCCCAAGGGUAUGGCUGUUCGCCAUUUAAAGUGGUACGCGAGCUGGGUUUAGAACGUCGUGAGACAGUUCGGUCCCUAUCUGCCGUGGGCGCUGGAGAACUGAGGGGGGCUGCUCCUAGUACGAGAGGACCGGAGUGGACGCAUCACUGGUGUUCGGGUUGUCAUGCCAAUGGCACUGCCCGGUAGCUAAAUGCGGAAGAGAUAAGUGCUGAAAGCAUCUAAGCACGAAACUUGCCCCGAGAUGAGUUCUCCCUGAGACUUAAAGUCUCCUGAAGGAACGUUGAAGACGACGACGUUGAUAGGCCGGGUGUGUAAGCGCAGCGAUGCGUUGAGCUAACCGGUACUAAUGAACCGUGAGGCUUAACCUU